CUGGGUAACUCUGAUCACUCUGCCCUGAUGCAGCAAGAACCCGGGCGGGCGGUGGGGGGCGGGGUUG
rnacentral:miRNA from 1 species